UACGGAGGGGGCGAGCGUUAUUCGGAAUUAUUGGGCGUAAAGGGCGCGUAGGCGGGCAGGUAAGUCCGUGGUGAAAUCUCUGAGCUUAACUCAGAAACUGCCAUGGAUACUAUUUGUCUUGAAUAUUGUGGAGGUAAGCGGAAUAUGUCAUGUAGCGGUGAAAUGCUUAGAUAUGACAUAGAACACCAAUUGCGAAGGCAGCUUACUACACAGUUAUUGACGCUGAGGCACGAAAGCGUGGGGAUCAAACAGG
rnacentral:rRNA from 1 species